rnacentral:miRNA from 1 species
AUUGGGUUGCCCAAAAAGUUUGUUCUGGUUUUUCUGUAACAUCUUACGGAAAGACCCAAACGAACUUUUUGGCCAACUCGAU